GACGAACGCUGGCGGCGUGCCUAAUACAUGCAAGUAGAACGCACAGUUUAUACCGUAGCUUGCUACACCAUAAACUGUGAGUUGCGAACGGGUGAGUAAUGCGUAGGUAACCUGCCUGGUAGCGGGGGAUAACUAUUGGAAACGAUAGCUAAUACCGCAUAAUAUUAAUUAUUGCAUGAUAAUUGAUUGAAAGAUGCAAUUGCAUCACUACCAGAUGGACCUGCGUUGUAUUAGCUAGUAGGUGAGGUAACGGCUCACCUAGGCGACGAUACAUAGCCGACCUGAGAGGGUGAUCGGCCACACUGGGACUGAGACACGGCCCAGACUCCUACGGGAGGCAGCAGUAGGGAAUCUUCGGCAAUGGACGAAAGUCUGACCGAGCAACGCCGCGUGAGUGAAGAAGGUUUUCGGAUCGUAAAGCUCUGUUGUAAGAGAAGAACGGGUGUGAGAGUGGAAAGUUCACACUGUGACGGUAUCUUACCAGAAAGGGACGGCUAACUACGUG
rnacentral:rRNA from 1 species